ACUGUUGUCAUCACUUACAAAUUUCUGCUACAAAUCAUCCGAAUAUUCAUUUAAAUACCCAAAUUCAUUUUAAAUUAAAUUUGAUACGCUGACAUGUGGAAAAAACACCUGUGGCCUAAGCAAACAUAGACUUCAAACGCGAGAGAAGAUCUUUAAAAUUCUCUUAAGCAAAUUAAAUUUCUGUAGCUCAAUGUUAAGUAACGACAGUUGUCUUCAGCCAAUUGCUAAAUGCGGUACCGCAAUGCAUUAUCUCUGGGUAUUUAUCUUGGGAAUCGUGUGUCUGUCCAACUCUAGCUCUUCAACCUCAACUCACAAGGAAAGUGAAGGCAGUCCGAAGAGUUCAUUAACGAGAGCGGCUUCGAGUGAGAACACAUGGUUCUUAAGAUCCGUCACACUUGGCGUUAUGCCCCAUCAUCGCUUGAAUACAACGGUCAACAAAAAACAGACUUCAUCGUGGGGAACAACCAGUACAAAUUUCAUGCAAAAUAUUUGGAUAGUAUUCUUUUUUGUCUAUAUUUGUUAUUUAACUGUUACUUUGUUUUGAAAUACAAUAAAUGAGCUAAUAAUAUAAAACACUAAAAA